rnacentral:rRNA from 1 species
UACGGAGGGGGCUAGCGUUGUUCGGAAUUACUGGGCGUAAAGGGCUCGUAGGCGGCCAACUAAGUCCGACGUGAAAUCCCAAGGCUUAACCUUGGAACUGCGUCGGAUACUGGAUGGCUUGAAUUCGGGAGAGGGAUGCAGAAUUCCAGGUGUAGCGGUGAAAUGCGUAGAUAUCUGGAGGAAUACCGGUGGCGAAGGCGGCAUCCUGGACCGACAUUGACGCUGAGGAGCGAAAGCUAGGGGAGCAAACGGGG